UAGGGAAUCUUCCGCAAUGGACGCAAGUCUGACGGAGCAACGCCGCGUGAGUGAAGAAGGAUUUCGGUUCGUAAAACUCUGUUGUUAGAGAAGAACAGCGCAUAGAGUAACUGUUAUGCGUGUGACGGUAUCUAACCAGAAAGCCACGGCUAACUACGUGCCAGCAGCCGCGGUAAUACGUAGGUGGCAAGCGUUGUCCGGAUUUAUUGGGCGUAAAGCGAGCGCAGGCGGUCAAUUAAGUCUGAUGUGAAAGCCCCCGGCUCAACCGGGGAGGGUCAUUGGAAACUGGUUGACUUGAGUGCAGAAGAGGAGAGUGGAAUUCCAUGUGUAACGGUGAAAUGCGUAGAUAUAUGGAGGAACACCAGUGGCGAAGGCGACUCUCUGGUCUGUAACUGACGCUGAGGCUCGAAAGCGUGGGUAGCAACCAGG
rnacentral:rRNA from 1 species